ensembl:lncRNA
GCCCGGGAGGCCCUCGCGGAGGGCGGGGGCCUGGGCGGCAGGGGCGCGGGUCCCGCCGCAGCGGCCGGGAGGCCGGCGCUCUCUUCGCCCUCCUUCCUCCUCCGCCCCUUCCACGUGGGGCCGGGCGGCCCGCCACGUGGGGGGACGCGAGCCCGGGCGGGCCUGGGCGCGGCGCCCCGGGGUGGCCCUAGCCCCAUCGAGCCCCCGCCAGGCCCGCGGCGCCGAGCUGCCCCCUUCCCGGCCCCGCGGCUCCAACUUCCUCCUGGGCCCCCGCGCCGGCCGCUUCUGCCUUCUCAGGCCCGCGGGGUCAGGCGCGGGCCGGCCACAGGGGGCACUUGCGCACCCCAAAUUCGGAUCCCGGAGACGGUGCCCGCGCCUUGCCCGCGAGGCGGCGAUGGCUGUGGGUGCGCGAGGAGGGGGCCCUAUGUGCUGGAACUUGCAGCGGUUGUGUUCCCUACAAAAAGCAAAACAUUUUUUACACAUUAAAAAAAAAUGUUCCUUCCUGUUGCCUGGAUCUCGCUGGGGCUAUUUUUAAAGCCUUGCCUUGAGUAGGAGCUCUGGGCCUCGCGGGACGGAAGCGCUGCGGCCUGGGGGGCCUGGAAGCCGGGGUCCUGGGCUGGCGCAGCGCUCUUCCGCGGCCCCGACCCCGCGCCGCCCCGACGCCCGGCGGUUAGAGUCUGGACACCAAACCUGGGGAGCCAGGCCGAACGCCGGCCGCACCUGGACGAAAUUCCAUGCCGAUGACCCGCAGCGUUGGAGCCCGGUUUGCGGAAGGGAGUCAGCGUCUGCGGGGUUUUAAAACUCCAUUGAAGACCUGGUGAACGUGAUGGCAGCUAGCAUUUCACACCCGCUCGCCCAGGUAAUUCAGUUGCUAAGAUGUCCGAAGCCUGUUUUCAACCUGGCCCCAGCAGGCCCUGGUCAGCUCUCCUACGUUGCUGUCGAGUCUGCAGUUGUGCCGGCAAACGCUCAAAUGUGCAUUCCCGGUUGCCUCCAUCUCCUGGAGACCCUCUAUCCCCACAAAACAUCUUCAGGGCUCUCUUCUCCGCAGGCGUUUUGCCUCCAGGUCAUGGCGCCUAAGACAGUUCUUGGUUAUAAACUGACCCUGCCCACCCCCAGGCUCCUGGACUACCAGUAUGUGCUUUUCUGUGUUUCUUAGGCAUAAACUAUAAUAACCAUAAAUAAAGAUUUUCUGCUUCCUUAUUUCACAAAUGAUCUUUGGUUCUGAGUGGCCCUCUGUUCUCACCUGGAAACCACCGAAAGUCAGCUGUUUUUCCAUAUCACUCCUUCAGUUUUCAUGUCUACUAUGAAUUCGACCUAACUUAGAAAAUACUAUGCUCUUUGUUGUGAGAAUGUUAAAAAGAAGGCAUCCUCAGAGCCAAAAAUUAUUUCUCACUUCUACCUGACACCUUGCAUUUUAAAAUAAUAAGCCCAUUUGCCCCCAAUAUGUGAAUUAUUUCAAACUCCAGUUGUUUUAGAAAAAAAAAAAGUUCCAAACAGCAACAAAAACCUUCUUCCAAUUCAAAAAUGGGCAAAGAUUUGAAUAGAUUUCUCAAAGGAAGAUGUGCAAAUGACCAAUAAGCACAUGAAAAGAUGCUCAGCAUCACUAGUCAUUAGGGAAAUGCACGUCAAAAUCACAGUAAGAUAGCACUUCACGUCCAGUGGGAUGGCUAUUAUCAAAAAGACAGAAAAUAACAAGUGUUGGUAAGGAUGUGGAGAAAUCAGAAAACUUGUACACUGCUCUUGGGUAUGUCAAAUGGUGCAGCCACUGUAGAGAACAGUUUGAUAGUUGCACAAAGAGUAACACAGAACUGCUAUAUGAUCCAGCAAUUCCAAUUCCAGGUAUAUACAGUACACAAAAGAAUGGCAAGCAGGAUCGCCAAUAAGUACUUAUACACCCACGUUGGUAGCAUCGUUCGCAAGAGCCAAAAGGCGGAAACAACCCAAAUGUCCAUCAAAGGAUGAAUGGAUUAAACAAAUGUGGUACAUGUAUACAAUGGAAUAUUAUUCAGUCUUAAAAAGAAAGGAAAUUCUGACACAUGCUACAACGUGGCUGAACCUUGAGGACAUUAUGCUGAGUGAAAACAGGCACAAGAGGAUAACUACUGUAUGAUUCCACUUAUUUGAGAUAUCUGGAGUAGACAAAUUCAUGGAGAUCAGAAAGUAGAAUGGACAGUACCAAGGGCUGGGGGAGGGGAGUAGUUAUUGUUUCAUGGGCAUGGAGUUUCCAUUUGGAGUGAUGAAGAAGUUCUGGAAGUGGAUGAUGGUGACGGGUUGCGCGACAUUGCAAGUGUGCUUAAUGCCACAAAACUGUACACUUAAAAAUGGAUAAAAUGGUAAAUUUUAUGUUAUGUAUAUUUUAC